rnacentral:lncRNA from 1 species
GGCUCCUUUGUCGAAGAUGAGAUGGCCGAGUGUGUCUGGCGUUGUUUCUGCAUCUUCUAAUCUGUUCCACUGGUCCUCAAGCCUGUUUCUUUGUCAGUACCAUGCUGUUUUUAUCACAGUAGCUUUGUAGUAGAGUUGCAGGUUGGGGAUUGUGAUACCCCCUGCCAUGUCUCUGUUACCUAGAAUUGCUUUUGCUAUUCUGGGUCUCUUCUUAUUCCAAAUGAACUUUUGGAUUGUUUUCUCAAGGUCCAUGAAGUAUGCUGCUGGGAUCUCAAUUGGAAUUGCAUUAAAUCUAUAUAGCAGUUUUGGAAGUAUGGCCAUUUUCACUAUAUUAAUCUUUCCUACCCAGGGGCAGGGGAUGUGUGUCCAUUUUCUGAUAUCAUCUUCAAUCUCUCUUUUCAGAGUGCCAUAGUUUUCAGAGAAGAGGUCUUUGAUUUCUUUCGUUAGGAUGAUUCCUGGGUAUUUCAGUUUUUUGGAUGCUAUUGUGAAAGGAAUUAUUUGUCCUAUUUCUCUCUCAGUGAGUCUGUCAUUCGUAUAGAGGAAAGCUAUUGAUUUUUGUGUGUUGAUCUUGUAACCAGCUACUUGACUGAAUUUGGUUAUUAAGUCUAGAAGACUUUUGGUGGCAUUCUUGGGGUCUUCUAUAUAGAUUAUCAUAUCAUCUGCAAAUAAUGACAAUUUGACUUCUUCAUUUCCUAUCUUUAUUUCUUUUAUUUCUUUCUCUUGUCUAAUUGCCAUGGCUAAUGUUUCCAGAACUAUAUUGAACAAGAGUGGUGAUAGUGAACAUCCUUGCCUUCUUUCUGAUUUAGUGUGAAGGAUUUCAAUUUUUGACCCUUUAGUAUGAUAUUGGCUGUUGGUGUUUCAUAGAUGGCUUCUAUCAGUUUGAGGUAGAGACCAUCUAUUCCAAUUUUUUGUAGGGUUUUUAUCAUAAAUGCAUGUUGGAUUUUGUCAAAUGCUUUUUCUGCAUCUAUGGAGAUAAUCAUAUGGUUUUUGUCCUUGGCUCUAUUGAUAUAGUGUAUUACAUUAAUUGAUUUUCGUAUAUUGAACCAUCCCUGCAUCCCUGGGAUGAAUCCCACUUGAUCAGGGUGUAUGAUCUUCUUGAUGAUCUUCUGCAUUCUGGUUGCCAGUAUCUUACUAAGGAUUUUUGCAUCUAUGUUCAUUAGUGAGAUUGGCCUAUAGUUCUCUUUUUCAGUUGGGUCUUUCUCUGCUUUGGGGAUCAAGGUGAUGCUUGCUUCCAGGAAUGAAUUUGGGAGUAUUGCUUCCCUUUCAAUUUCAUUGAAGAGUUUAAACAGUAGUGGCAGCAGUUCCUCUCUAAAUGUCUUGUAGAAUUCAGCAGUGAAGCCAUCAGGGCAUGGGCUUUUCUUAGGUGAUAAGUUUUUAAUUACAUUUUCAAUUUCAUUGGUUGAUAUUGGGUUGUUCAGAAUUUUUAGGUCUUCUUCGUUCAACUUUGGUAAUUCCUAUGUAUCUAGGAAUCUGUCCAUUUCUUCUGUGUUGUCCAUCUUAUUGGCAUAUAGGUUCUGGAAGUAGGUAUUGAUGAUCCUCUGGAUUUCUUCUGGGUCUGUUGUAGUUUCACCCUUUUCAUUCCUAAUUGCAUGGAUUUGGGCCUUUUCUUUCCUUUUUCUGACAAGGUUGACUAAAGGUUUGUCAAUUUUGUUGAUUCUUUCAAAGAAGCAACUCUUGGCUUCAUUGAUUUUUUGUAUCAUUCUCUUAGUCUCCAUUGCAUUGAUUUCUCCUCUGAUCUUUAUCAUUUCCUCCCUUGUAUGAGCUUUGGAGUUGUCCUGCUCUUCUUUUCUUAGAAGCUUGAGGUUCAGCAUCAGGUUGUUUAAUUGGGCUCGCUCUGUUUUCCUAAUAUGCGUAUUCACUGCUAUGAAUUUCCCUCGUAAGACUGCUUUCAUUGUGUUCCAUAGAUUCCGAUAUGUUGUAUUGUCAUUGUCAUUUAAUUGAAGGAACUAUCUGAUUUCUUCUUUAAUUUCCUCUGUGACCCAUUGGUUAUUCAGAAGUGUGUUGUUCAAGUUCCACAUGCUUAUGAAAUUUUUUGAGUUUCUUUUGCUAUGGAUGUCCAAUUUCAUCGCACUAUGGUCUGAUAAUAUACAGGGGAUAACUUCAAUUCCUUUGCACUUACUUAAACAUGUUCUAUGUGUGAGUAUGUGGUCUAUUUUGGAGAAUGAGCCAUGUGCAGCUGAGAAGAAUGUGUAUUCUGAUUUUGUGGAGUGGAAGGCUCUGUAAACAUCUGUUCAGUUCAUUUGUUCAAGAGUUCGAUUGAGUUCUUGUAUUUCAGUACUUAUUUUUAGUCUAGUUGAUCUAUCUGUGACAGUGGGGUGUUGAGGUCCCCCACUACAAUUAUAUUAGUGCAUAUAUGACUUUUCAUGUCCGUUAGUAUUUGUUUUAUAUAGUUGGGUGCACUAGUGUUUGGUGCAUAGAUAUUUAUGAUUGUCAUCUCUUCCUCUUGGAUUCUUCCCUUUACAAGGAUGUAGUGUCUUUCUUCAUCGCUCUUAAUUAGUGUUGGUUUGAAAUCUACUUGAUCUGCCAAGAGGAUAGCUACUCCUGCUUUUUUGGGGGUUCCUGUCACAUGGGAUAUUGUUUUCCACCCUUUCACUUUCAGUCUAUGAGUUUCCUUUUGAAUUAAGUGUGUUUCUUGCAUGCAGCGUAUUGUUGGAUUUUGCUUCUUGACCCAUUCUGCCAGUCUGUUUCUUUUGAUUGGUGAAUUGAGACCAUUAACGUUGAUGGUUAUAACUGAAACGUAUUGACUUGUCAUUGCCAUGACUUUUUCUUUUUGUUGGGUUCUCCCCCUUUACAUUUAAUUUCUUGACAUGCCAGAUGGGUUCACUCUGCUUUGCUUCCUGGGGUUGUGAUCCUCAAUGUCUGUUCCUAGGAUAUUGUGUAAAAUUCUUUGGAGUGCUGGUUUUGGUAUUCACGAAGUUCCUAAGGUGCUCUUUGUCAUGAAAGUAUCUUAUUUCUCCACCCAUUUUGAAAGAUAGUUUUGCAGGGUACAUCAAUGUGGGUUGGAGGCUGUUUUCUUUUAGGGCUUGGAAUAUGUCACUCCAAGCUCUUCUUGCCUUGAGGGUUUGUGUUGAGAAGUCUGCUGUGAUUCUGAUGGGCUUUCCUUUGUAUGUGAUUUAUUUCUUUUCUCUGACUGCUUGGAGAACUUUGUUCUUCUGUUGAGUUUCUGGAAUCUUAACAAUUAUAUGCCUAUGUGUAGAUUUUUUUUGAUCAAGGCUAUUUGGAGUCCUAUAUGCCUCACUUAUCUGUAUGUCAAGCUCUUUUCCCCUGCUUGGGAAGUUUUCUGCCAUUAUUUCUGUGAAGAGAUUUUUUAUGUCAUCUCCACUCUCUCCUAUUUCUUCAUUGUGCCCAAUCAGUCUUACAUUAUUCUUUUUUGCGUCAUCUAGCAGCUGCUGGAUUGAUUUCUCCUGUUCCCUUAUAAUUUUGAAGCAAUUUUUCUUUUCCUGGUCACUAAUUGCAAUCUUAUCUUCUAUAUCUGAAAUUCUGUCCUCACACUGGCUCAUUCUGCUGUGUAGACUUUCAAUGGAGUUUUUCAUGUCCUGGAAAUCUAUUUGCAUGUCUUUUAUGGAUUCCAUUUGUUUCUUAUGUUGGGAUUCCAUCAUGUUCCUCAGCUCCUCUCUAGAUUUAUUAAUCAUGUCUUGCACUAAGGGCACAAUUUCUCCUGUUAUCUGAGAAAUUAUUUCUGAUUUCAUUUUUUCCAGAUCCCCUUUUGUUGCCAGUUCAGUGGGUCCAGGUGUUUGAGUAUCAGAGGGUUCCAUCUCAUUUCCCUUUGGGGUUGCUGUAGGUGAUCUAGAAGUCUGGUUUUGAGACUUAUUUAUGUGUUUUCUCAUUUCGACUGGGGUGGGGGGGCUGUUAGUGCCUGCACGGAUUACCUCCUCUGAGCUGGGUGAGGUGGGACAAGGACCGGGAGCAACGGUAGGGAUGGUGACCCAAAAGCCCUUUCCUGUGGGCUGGGAACAGCUGGAGGGAUGGUGGCUGGGAAACCCCUUCCUCUGGGCCAGGAGCAGCAGGACAGAAGGUGGCCCAAAAGCCCUUUCCUCUGGGUUGGGAGCAGCGGGAGGGAUGGUGAGCAGGAAGCCCCUUUCUCUGGACCAGGAGCAGUGGAACGACAGCUCAGAAGUCCCUACCUCUGGGCCAGGAACAGUGGGACUCAGUACCUUGGUCUGGUGGUCUUGUGUCCUCUGCACCUUGGUAAUGUGGAAUCAGG